ensembl:misc_RNA
AUCCACUGAGAUGUUGGGGCUCAGACAUCCUAAGCAAGAGAAAGUGGGCACUCACACCAUCGAGGAGGAAGUGGGCAUUCCUGAGCUGGAAGGCCCAUGGGCCCACUGGGUUCAAGAAGUAUUCAAAGUAGUGAGAAGA